rnacentral:rRNA from 1 species
UACAUAGGGAGCAAGCGUUAUCCGGAUUUAUUGGGUGUAAAGGGUGCGUAGACGGGAAUACAAGUUGGUUGUGAGAUCCCUCGGCUUAACUGAGGAACUGCAACCAAAACUAUAUUUCUUGAGUGUUGGAGAGGAAAGUGGAAUUCCUAGUGUAGCGGUGAAGUGCGUAGAUAUUAGGAGGAACACCAGUGGCGAAGGCGACUUUCUGGACAAUAACUGACGUUGAGGCACGAAAGUGUGGGGAGCAAAC